GUGGCUAUAGCUCAAUGGUAGAGCACCUGGUUGUGGCCCAGGAGGCUACGGGUUCGAGCCCCGUUAGCCACC
rnacentral:tRNA from 1 species